UCCCUCUCAGGGUCACACCUGGAGAGUUUCCAGUACUCUACCAGUCUUGGCUAUGGGAGGGAAAGUCAAGAAGAGGCCUGUCUAUUCCAUUCCUAGUUUGGAGAGUGGCUAGCGAGUGCAAGGCAACCUCCUACAAGU
rnacentral:snoRNA from 1 species